rnacentral:rRNA from 1 species
GGACGAACGCUGGCGGCGUGCUUAACACAUGCAAGUCGAGCGGUAAGGCCCUUCGGGUACGACGAGCGGCGAACGGGUGAGUAACACGUGGGUGACCUGCCUCUAGCUCUGGGAUAAGCCUGGGAAACUGGGUCUAAUACCGGAUAUGACUCCACGGCGCAUGUUGUGGGGUGGAAAGCCUUGUGUGGCUAGAGAUGGGCCCGCGGCCUAUCAGCUUGCUGGUGGGGGAUGGCCUACCAAGGCGACGACGGGUAGCCGGCCUGAGAGGGCGACCGGCCACACUGGGACUGAGACACGGCCCAGACUCCUACGGGAGGCAGCAGUGGGGAAUCUUGCGCAAUGGGCGAAAGCCUGACGCAGCGACGCCGCGUGAGGGAUGACGGCCUGGUGUAACGU